UACGGAGGGUGCAAGCGUUAGUCGGAAUUAUUGGGCGUAAAGGGUGCGUAGGCGGGAAUGUAAGUCAAACGUGAAAUUCUGGAGCUCAACUCCAGGGCUGCAUUUGAAACUGCAUUUCUUGAGAGAUGGCGGAGAAAAUGGAAUUCCAUGUGUAGCGGUGAAAUGCGUAGAUAUAUGGAAGAACACCUGUGGCGAAAGCGGUUUUCUAGCUUUCAUCUGACGCUGAGGCACGAAAGCAAGGGGAGCAAACAGG
rnacentral:rRNA from 1 species